UGGGGAAUUUUGGACAAUGGGCGCAAGCCUGAUCCAGCAAUGCCGCGUGCAGGAUGAAGGCCUUCGGGUUGUAAACUGGUUUUGUACGGAACGAAAAGGCUCUGGUUAAUACCUGGGGUCUAUGACGGUACCGUAAGAAUAAGCACCGGCUAACUACGUGCCAGCAGCAGCGGUAAUACGUAGGGUGCAAGCGUUAAUCGGAAUUACUGGGCGUAAAGCGUGCGCAGGCGGUUUUGUAAGACAGAGGUGAAAUCCCCGGGCUCAAACUGGGAACUGCCUUUGUGACUGCAAGGCUGGAGUACGGCAGAGGGGGAUGGAAUUCCGCGUGUAUCAGUGAAAUGCGUAGAUAUGCGGAGGAACACCGAUGGCGAAGGCAAUCCCCUGGGCCUGUACUGACGCUCAUGCACGAAAGCGUGGGGAGCAAACA
rnacentral:rRNA from 1 species